rnacentral:snRNA from 1 species
GGGUGAUCUGGCUGCGACAUCUGUCACCCCAUUGAUCCUCAGGGUUGAUUUGGCUGAUCUGGCUGGUUAGGCUCCAUGUGCGUCCCUCCUGAAGCUACAUGAUCUGUUGAAGAAGACAACCUCUGAAUAGAGACAGACUGGUCUUCGGUCGAGGGUAUACAAGUAGCUAUGCUUCCCUGCUAGAACCUUCAAACAAACUCUAAAAAGGUUAAUUUCACACAAGACAGAGAGAGGGUGAGAAUCAGAGCACACUCUGGUAUAUGCGGUAUUGGGGAUUG